UACGAAGGUGGCAAGCGUUGUUCGGAUUUACUGGGCGUAAAGCGCGUGUAGGCGGUUCAGUAAGUCUGCUGUGAAAGUCCAGGGCUCAACCCUGGGAUGCCGGUGGAUACUGCUGGGCUAGAGUACGGAAGAGGCGAGUGGAAUUCCCGGUGUAGCGGUGAAAUGCGCAGAUAUCGGGAGGAACACCUAUUGCGAAGGCAGCUCGCUGGGACGUUACUGACGCUGAGACGCGAAAGCGUGGGGAGCAAACAGG
rnacentral:rRNA from 1 species